rnacentral:rRNA from 1 species
GGAGUUUGGGCCGUGUCUCAGUCCCAAUGUGGCCGAUCACCCUCUCAGGUCGGCUACCGAUCGUCGACUUGGUGGGCCGUUACCUCACCAACUAUCUAAUCGGACGCGAGCCCACCCUUCACCGGAUUGCUCCUUUGACCCCUUCGGGAUGUCCCGUUGUGGUCUUAUGCGGUAUUAGUACAACUUUCGCUGUGUUAUCCCCUCGUGAAGGACAGGUUGCUCACGCGUUACUCACCCGUCCGCCGCUAGAACAUACAUCUUCUCUUCCAUCCGAAAACUUCCGAUCCGUCGCAUGUCCCCGCUCGACUUGCAUGUGUUAGGCACGCCGCCAGCGUCGUCCUGAGCACGGAUCAAACUCU